rnacentral:rRNA from 1 species
CCUACGGGAGGCAGCAGUAGGGAAUAUUGCUCAAUGGGGGACACUCUGAUGGUGCGACGCCGCGUGGGGGAAUGCAGGUCUUCGGAUUGUAAACCUCUGUCAUGUGGGAGCAAAUUAAAAAGUGAGUACUACAAGAUGUAGAGCCGGCUAACUAUGUGCCAGCAGCCGCGGUAAGACAGAGGUCGCAAGCGUUGUUCGGAAUGAUUGGGCGUAAAGCGUGCGUAGGCUGUUUCGUAAGUCGUGUGUGAAAGGCGCGGGCUCAAGCCGCGGACGGCACAUGAUACUGCGAGACUAGAGUAAAGGAGAGGGAACCGGAAUUCUCGGUGUAGCAGUGAAAUGCGUAGAUAUCGAGAGGAACUCUCGUGGCGAAGGCGGGUUCCUGGACAUUAACUGACGCUGAGGCACGAAGGCCAGGGGAGCGAAAGGGAUUAGAUACCCGUGUAGUC